rnacentral:antisense_RNA from 1 species
CUCCACUUAUGGCAGAAAACAAGCUAACAGCUGCAGCACCUCCAAAUACACCUGUAAAUGUUG